GAUGAAGAACGCAGUGAAAUGUGAUACGUAAUGUGAAUUGCAGAAUUCAGUGAAUCAUCGAAUCUUUGAACGCAUAUUGCGCUCUCUGGUAUUCCGGAGAGCAUGCUUGUUUGAGUAUCAGUAAACACCUCAACUCCCCUUUCUUUUUUGAAAUGGGAGCUGGACUUGAGUGAUCCCAACGCUUUUCUCACCGAAAAGUGGCGGGUUACUUGAAAUGCAGGUGCAGCUGGACUUUUCUCUGAGCUAAAAGCAUAUCUAUUUAGUCUGCCUAAAAACAGAUUAUUACCUUUGCUGCAGCUAACAUAAAGGAGAUUAGUUCUUGUGCUGACUGAUGCAGGAUUCACAGAGACAGCUUCGGCUGGCCUUUGUAAACUCGAUCUCAAAUCAAGUAAGACUACCCGCUGAACUUAAGCAUAUCAAUAAGCGGAGGA
rnacentral:misc_RNA from 1 species